GACGAACGCUGGCGGCGUGCUUAACACAUGCAAGUCGAACGGAAAGGCCCUGCUUUUGUGGGGUGCUCGAGUGGCGAACGGGUGAGUAACACGUGAGUAACCUGCCCUUGACUUUGGGAUAACUUCAGGAAACUGGGGCUAAUACCGGAUAGGAGCUCCUGCUGCAUGGUGGGGGUUGGAAAGUUUCGGCGGUUGGGGAUGGACUCGCGGCUUAUCAGCUUGUUGGUGGGGUAGUGGCUUACCAAGGCUUUGACGGGUAGCCGGCCUGAGAGGGUGACCGGCCACAUUGGGCCUGCGAUACGGCCCAGACUCCUACCGGAGGCAGGAGUGGGGAAUAUUGCACAAUGGGCGGAAGCCUGAUGCAGCAACGCCGCGUGCGGGAUGACGGCCUUCGGGUUGUAAACCACUUUCGCCUGUGACGAAGCGUGAGUGACGGUAAUGGGUAAAGAAGCACCGGCUAACUACGUG
rnacentral:rRNA from 1 species